rnacentral:rRNA from 1 species
GACGAACGCUGGCGGCGUGCUUAACACAUGCAAGUCGAACGGGUCUGCCCUGUUUUUUGCGGGGUGGGUCAGUGGCGAACGGGUGAGUAACACGUGAGUAACCUGCCCCUCACUUCUGGAUAACCGCUUGAAAGGGUGGCUAAUACGGGGUGUUCUGGCUGUGCCGCAUGGUGUGGCUGGGAAAGAUUCACUUUUGUGGUGUUUUGGUGGGGGAUGGGCUCGCGGCCUAUCAGCUUGUUGGUGGGGUGAUGGCCUGCCAAGGCUUUGACGGGUAGCCGGCCUGAGAGGGUGGGCGGUCACACUGGGACUGAGAUACUGCCCAGACUCCUGCGGGAGGCAGCAGUGGGGGGUAUUGCACAAUGGGCGGAAGCCUGAUGCAGCGACGUCGCGUGAGGGAUGGAGGCCUUCGGGUUGUGAACCUCUUUCGCCGGUGAAGAAGGUCCUGCUCUUUGUGGUGGGGUUGACGGUAGCCGGGUUAUGAAGCGCCGGCUAACUACGUG